rnacentral:rRNA from 1 species
CCUACGGGAGGCAGCAGUGAGGAAUAUUGGUCAAUGGACGAGAGUCUGAACCAGCCAAGUAGCGUGACGGAUGACUGCCCUAUGGGUUGUAAACUUCUUUUAUAUGGGAAUAAAAUGUUCCACGUGUGGGAUUUUGUAUGUACCAUAUGAAUAAGGAUCGGCUAACUCCGUGCCAGCAGCCGCGGUAAUACGGAGGAUCCGAGCGUUAUCCGGAUUUAUUGGGUUUAAAGGGAGCGUAGGUGGAUUGUUAAGUCAGUUGUGAAAGUUUGCGGCUCAACCGUAAAAUUGCAGUUGAAACUGGCAGUCUUGAGUACAGUAGAGGUGGGCGGAAUUCGUGGUGUAGCGGUGAAAUGCUUAGAUAUCACGAAGAACUCCGAUUGCGAAGGCAGUUCACUGGACUGCAACUGACACUGAGGCUCGAAAGUGUGGGUAUCAAACAGGAUUAGAUACCCGAGUAGUC